CCCUAAGGCGAGGCCGAAAGGCGUAGUCGAUGGGAAACGGGUUAAUAUUCCCGUACUUGGUGUUACUGCGAAGGGGGGACGGAGAAGGCUAUGUUGGCCGGGCGACGGUUGUCCCGGUUUAAGCGUGUAGGCUGGUUUUCCAGGCAAAUCCGGAAAAUCAAGGCUGAGGCGUGACGACGAGGCACUACGGUGCUGAAGCAACAAAUGCCCUGCUUCCAGGAAAAGCCUCUAAGCAUCAGGUAACACGAAAUCGUACCCCAAACCGACACAGGUGGUCAGGUAGAGAAUACCAAGGCGCUUGAGAGAACUCGGGUGAAGGAACUAGGCAAAAUGGUGCCGUAACUUCGGGAGAAGGCACGCUGACACGUAGGUGAAGUGAUUUACUCAUGGAGCUGAAGUCAGUCGAAGAUACCAGCUGGCUGCAACUGUUUAUUAAAAACACAGCACUGUGCAAACACGAAAGUGGACGUAUACGGUGUGACGCCUGCCCGGUGCCGGAAGGUUAAUUGAUGGGGUCAGCGCAAGCGAAGCUCCUGAUCGAAGCCCCGGUAAACGGCGGCCGUAACUAUAACGGUCCUAAGGUAGCGAAAUUCCUUGUCGGGUAAGUUCCGACCUGCACGAAUGGCGUAAUGAUGGCCAGGCUGUCUCCACCCGAGACUCAGUGAAAUUGAACUCGCUGUGAAGAUGCAGUGUACCCGCGGCAAGACGGAAAGACCCCGUGAACCUUUACUAUAGCUUGACACUGAACAUUGAGCCUUGAUGUGUAGGAUAGGUGGGAGGCUUUGAAGUGUGGACGCCAGUCUGCAUGGAGCCGACCUUGAAAUACCACCCUUUAAUGUUUGAUGUUCUAACGUGGACCCGUAAUCCGGGUUGCGGACAGUGUCUGGUGGGUAGUUUGACUGGGGCGGUCUCCUCCUAAAGAGUAACGGAGGAGCACGAAGGUUGGCUAAUCCUGGUCGGACAUCAGGAGGUUAGUGCAAUGGCAUAAGCCAGCUUGACUGCGAGCGUGACGGCGCGAGCAGGUGCGAAAGCAGGUCAUAGUGAUCCGGUGGUUCUGAAUGGAAGGGCCAUCGCUCAACGGAUAAAAGGUACUCCGGGGAUAACAGGCUGAUACCGCCCAAGAGUUCAUAUCGACGGCGGUGUUUGGCACCUCGAUGUCGGCUCAUCACAUCCUGGGGCUGAAGUAGGUCCCAAGGGUAUGGCUGUUCGCCAUUUAAAGUGGUACGCGAGCUGGGUUUAGAACGUCGUGAGACAGUUCGGUCCCUAUCUGCCGUGGGCGCUGGAGAACUGAGGGGGGCUGCUCCUAGUACGAGAGGACCGGAGUGGACGCAUCACUGGUGUUCGGGUUGUCAUGCCAAUGGCACUGCCCGGUAGCUAAAUGCGGAAGAGAUAAGUGCUGAAAGCAUCUAAGCACGAAACUUGCCCCGA
rnacentral:rRNA from 1 species